GAGCCCCGGCCGGCCGCGGCUGAGGCGGAAAACCCGGCCCCGCAAUCCUGCCGGGUUUAUGGGGCUGGUUUUGGAUGAAGCCGGGUUUGUGGGAUUGGUGUUGAACGGUGCCGGGUUUGUGGGGUUGGGGUUAUGCUGCACGUCCCGUCCCGGCUGAGCCCCACAGCGAGUCCCCGUGGUUUGGAGAGGGCUCUGAGGAGCCGGAGCGGUUCGCGAAGGGACAGUGUAUUACACCCAGGAAGAUGAAGGCAGAUGGCCUUGGAUGUGACACUUCAUGGAAAUAAGAUGCAAAAAGUAUUCCAGGGCAUGAAAUCUUCCCGUAUUUUCCGGUACAAUUUCCAUAGGUUAUAUCAUGAUAAAAGAAACUCUUCUGCAUUCUGGGAUCUCGCUUUAAAAUUGUUAUUUCAGUCUUUUUUGGCAAGAAAAGCUGAUUCUCCAGUCCUGGGAUGCAGAGUGUGCUGUUUGUCACUGGGUUUUUAUCCUCAUGCUGAGCUUGGACUGCCUGGCCAAAGGACAAGAGAUUUUGUCUUCUCGCACAUUUGAUGAAGUGCAGCAAGAGUGAUCUUGUGUCUCCUGGAACAGAGAGCUCUGUGCUGAUCUCUACAUUUCAUAUAAAGAAGGAUUGGGCAGCAUGAGAUGGAUGCAGGAGGGUAAUGAAUGCAUUGAUGCAGUGGGGUGUAACACAGAGUGGAAUAAACAGCUCUGCCUGCACAUUGUUCAGGUUGUAACAUUGACUUGUUUGCUGAGUGAGCUGCUUGGGGCUGGCCCUUUUCUGGCAGUUUGCUGCAAGAAAUUAACACAGUUUAUGUGGGAUAAACAUUUCUUGUGCCCUUUCUGCCCAUCCAAAUAAGAGCAGUGAUCAGAGGGGUGUGUGAGUGGCAGGGCACUGCAGGAGCCAGCUCAGUGUCAGGAGCUCGUGGAGGCAGGAAUCUGGAAUUCUGGAAUUCUGUACAGUUUGGAUCAGCCAGACCUGCCUUGUGUCCUAGACCUGUCCAGCCCAAAGGUUCACCUUGCACUGGCUGCUCUGAGGUGUUUUCCUUCUCAGGAAGAUAACGUGGCAGUCAGGCUGAGGGAGGUCAGGAUCUGGAAGGAUCUAGAAAAUAAAGUGAGAGAUUUCAUGCUCUGGGUUAAAAACCACAGGGAAACCGGACUGGGAGAAACAUUUCCUUUUCUUUAAAAAUCUAAUCAACAUGCACAGAGAAUAACACAGAAUAACUGAGAAUAACCCUGAUCCCCACAGCUCCCACUAAAUGCUUUGAUUAUUUAUCAUUGCCCAUUUUUUAUGGAAACAGUUGACAUUAGAUUAUUAGUGACCUGGGUGGUAUUUGAUUUUUUUCCCCCUGGAGGUUAAAGACUUUGUAGUUUCCUGUUCUAGGUCCUUUUUAAAAUUAAUUUUAGAGCAUGAAAAAUAUAUUGUUCUGUCAAGUUUAUUUCUCUGACAUUUACUCAGUGCAGGGUGUGAUCCUAAUAUUAAAGGUUUUUGAUUUGAAGCCCAGGAUACAGACAAGGCUUUUCAGUGGUCUUCCCUAAAACAGGACAUUUCAUCACUGCCUGGGAAGUUAUUAUGUUGGAACAGCAUAAUUAUUUGAAGGAGUAUUUGUUUUUCAAGGAUUUGUGGGUGAUAUUAGAUGGCUCAGCCCAGUUGUGUCACAAGGUAUUAAGGUUUCUGCCUGCAGAAGUCAUGGAGCUGGGCCUAUAUAGAGCCAUAAAUAAUAUUGUGGGAGAGCCAGUGACAGACUUUGACUCCAGCUCAACUCUUUAUUACUUGUUAUAUUAAAUUUAAACACAAUUGUUGAAUUCCUUGCUGUGAGCAAAUGGUUUUUGAUGUCUCCUUCUAUUAAAGUUGUAAUAUCCCUUUUAGCCUGUGAAACUCACUCUUGCCAGGUGUGUUUCUCCAAUAAUCAGCUUCUCAUUAAUGAUGCUAGCAGAAUUAAUUGGGCUGUCACCACAAGGUUGGGUAUCCAGUUGGGAAUGAUAGGGUGAGGCCAGUGGAAUUAAGCACAUUUUGAUUGUGGGGAAAGUUCACGGGGCUCAAUAAUGUGCUGCUCAUGGGCAUUACUCUGUAGGAAAGGGCAGAUUCUGGCUGGAACAUUUUUUUAACUCUGGAAAUAUGAAGGACAAAUGCAAGAACUCUUAGGAAAUUCGAAAGCAUUUGUUGACAAUUUAAGAUACAGUCAAAGUUCUCCUCUUUAUCAGCACAGAAAGUACUGCCAAGGAGCCCCCAGACACCAUAAAUCAUCCAGGAGAGUGCAGAGGCUGAGAAGAUUACAAAGGAAAGGCUCUGGGGCAGGCAGCGCCCUGAGAAGUCAUUGUUUAGGGCCUGCUGUAUUUUUAAUGGUCAUUUCAGCUGCCAUUAACUCCCAUCCCUAAUUAGAAAAUGGAUUGAUCUUUGCUGGAAGUUGCUGGAGACUGGCAGGUGUCCCUGGCAGAUCAGAGCUCUGCAUACAAAUGAGAUGGUGAACGUGUCCACUGAGUUUCAGACAGGGGGAAAAGGUCCAUAUUUGUAGGCAGCUGUUGUUAAUUAUGCCUUGGGAUUGGUGUUGGAAACAGCACUCCAGUCAGCAAGGCCAUGCUCUGCCUUCCUGAUUUUCCUUGCGCUUUCAGCUGGAGAAAUAUCCUUCUUCACCCUGUACUAAGGAGGUGGGAAACAGCAAAUUUUAUCUUCCUCCUUUGUGCCUGCAAACUGCAGAUUUCCUUGUGAGUCCUCUCUUCUUACAGAAUUUCAAUAACCCGCUGGGAAAACAUCUGAAAAUGCAAUAAAGUUCCAUGAGGCAGCAUUAUCAAAUCUGCAUUCACAGGGAUGAAUAUCCAUGUGUCUGGAAACAUCCAGCUCCUCACUGGACACUGAAUUUCUAAAUCCCAUCUUCCCCAACAGCCUUAAAUCUUUUGUGUGUGAAUAAAUCAGUGCUGCUUCACACCAGCAGCCUGGGAAAAGCCCAGGGACAUCCAGAGGGGUUGGUUUCUAGCUCAGUUUGGUCUCGACUGCAGGUUUGCAUCAGUUCUUUUUACAGAAUUACUGUACAGAGUUGUUGGAGGUGCUUUAAAUAGCUGGAUGUUGGAGAACAGUGGUUUUUCCUUGUUUUUCCAAAGAAUAUUACAGCCUGAACAUGACAUUAAUUCGUGGGAAAAAGAGGAAUCAGAAACCUGUCUAGUGAAGGCUUGAGAUUCCUUCAUUUUCUUCUCUCCUUUUCUUUUUUUUGCCUAAUGAUUUCCCUGUGGCCCAUCCUGCUGAAUUCCCAGUGCAUUGCAGUGGGAAGAGCUUCCAAGGGGAUCACCAAAGGCAUCCCAUGCUCCUGGCAGAUCAGUACUGGACUUUUUAAUCAGUUUGCUUUGGUAUGAGGUUGACUCUUUUGGGAAUCUUUCAGGAUUGGCUUCAAACCAAUGAGUUAUCUUUAAUUUAGAAAUGGCAACUUUUCAUACUGACUCUGUGCUUAGCCUAAACACACAGAAUUUAUUUGUUCCCUAGCCAAUUUCCUGAAGCACUGAAGGGCCCUACACCUGCUGUGGGCCAUAUCAGCAAGGGAUUUUCUGUUUUCCUUUCCAGUGCUUUGCUGGUGGAAUAUUAUUUCUACUGGAGAACCUGGACUGAUUUUGUAGUUCAGAGGACUUUUAUAAUCUCUUCUGAUCUUAGGCUCAUUUCUGAGCAAUCUCAUGGUCCUGGAGGCAGAAACAUCAAUGCUGCUCUGAGCAUUUCCCCUCUGGGAAGGAGGUGACUUGUUUUGAGUGGUGAUAUUUUUUGGGAAAGAACUUCUCCCUUCAUUUUCCGGGACUGUUUGAUACCUCAGAAAAUAAACAUUAAUUUGAAGUUUGGCAACCAGUUUGUGCCACUUUGGUGUGUAGAUAUUUGAGGACUUCAGUGUCCUAAUCUGAGGCAGAUCCCCAAUAAAUGCAGCCCCUAUAAUCUUAAAUAGUGAUGUUAUUUGUGGACCAGGCAAAUUCCUUGCUGCUUUCUGGAACAUUCCUCAGGUCUCUGUGCUGAGUAAUGCUGCAGCUGCUGAGUAAACCUGUCCUUCCCUCUGGUUAUAAACAAAGCAACUGUAAAAUUGGUAACUCUCAACUCCCAUUAAUAGAAUGGCCCUCAGGUGUCAAUUUUGGUCCCAAAUUAUUUCAGGCUUUUAAGAGUUCCUAUUAGACUUGGGAGCAUGCAGAUGCUUAAAAUGGCCUUAGAACCCAAUUAAGGCUACAAAUGGGAAGACAAUUUGUACUGACUCAUAUAAUUUUGAAGAACAUUUAAAACACUGAUUACUCUCCAAAGACAGGGGAAAUAAGGGUGAGUGCUGGGAAAUCAAAGGCAUAAAGAGUAAAUGGCUCCUGUAAAGUCAGAGUGGCAGCCUGGAGUCUCACUGGGGCACUUCUUGCUGUGACAGAUGCAUGUUAUUCAUUAUUAACCUUUGAUAAUUGUCUAAUUGCUUGUGGUAUCAUUUGGAGUGAAUCACCUUUCUCAUCCUCAGUAUGAGAACCUCACAAGUCCUGUGCUUUCCCCCCAAGUUUCCUGAGCUCACUAAUGGAUAUUUAUGAAAUAAUUGUGCUCCAUUUGAGAGGCUGAAGCACCACAGCAGGAGAAGGUUGAUGGGAGGAAGUGGGCAGUGAGUUUGGCAGGCAGGAGAGUGACCGUGUUUUUCACACAAACACUGUCAGAGCCAGCCCGGGUCUCCUCGUGGGAACCACAGAGAUCCCUCCUGUCUGUCUGAGAUGCUGGAGCACAGCUGUGUUCAUGAUCCUUCCAUCUGAUGUCUCACUGGUAUCUCACUGAUCUCUGCUUGGAAAGGGAGGGAAUCAAGCCCAGGAUUUGUGUGUCUGAGAUGUUCAGCUGAAGGCUCCUGCUCUGCUUGGGGCUGUGCAGGGAGAGCAGAGGCUGAUUCCCUCUGACUCCAUCCAGAGGCCUGAACCAGAUUUCCUGAGCUCUGCCUUCCCAGCCUUCCUCUCUGAGAGCUGCCAGCCCACAUCCACAAGUGCCACUGAGUCUUCUUGAGCUGCUUUUGGAAUUUCUGGAAGUAUCAGAAAAGCACUAGACCAACAGGCUCAGCUCAGCCCUGGUGUGUGCUCUGGAGUAAAUCACCUAUCCCAGGCCAGGACACCAAGGCUCCAGCAGAAAAGGAACUUGAUGAUCUGAUUCUAAUUAGUUUCUUGAUUUAAUGGCAGUAAUUUUACUUUCAUGAUGGUUGCCAUUGCCCUAGCUAGCAGGGAUAAUAGACUUGGUUUCCUCCAAGGCGCAUUUCUGAUGCAGCCUCUGUUGAAUCUUAAGCAAUAACAACCAGAAGCCCACAGUUACUUCAAAAUUAUGGGAUUUCAGUGGUUAAAAAUGUCAUGUUCUCUCACCCGAGCUGUUGACUGGGAAUUGCCAGUAUAAGAAAAUGAGCUGUCAUAAAAUUAAAAUAUAGCUUGAGUUGACUUCAAUUCCUUCUAAGAUGAUCUUUUUGUUUCCUUGCUGAUUUAAACACCUGCAAGUUAAAGUCCUCUUGAAACCAGAAAUGGGCAAAUAAAAUUUUUAAGGAAAUAAAACAGCAUGGGAUGGGAUGUGUUUACACCAGUAGAAAACCACAAUGACUCCACAGAAGAUAAUGAAACACAAGGGAAACAAAUGGACUGAUCUUAAUGACCUAGUGGGUGAAAUGUCAUUAAAGUAGCAUUCAGUUUUGGUUACCUGAACCAAAAGUGCUGUCAAAAAUUACACCUGAGCUGCAGAGCUAUCAAAACUUGUAGCUUUAAUUAUUUUAUUUUCCUUUCUAACUUGUAAAAAUUUCACUCUCCACAGCUGGAUUAGAAGUGGAUGAGGGAUCUUCACUUUUCCCCCUCUGUGAUUUGUGCAAUCCACAAAUGGAUUCAGCUGGGGAAAGUUCUGUGAAGGUUUUGCCUGGUUUGAGCUCCUUGCCAAGCUUUACUCCCUUCAGGAAGGGUAAUUCUACAUCUGCCCACCUUUGUCCUGCAUUAAAUGGAAUUUCCCAUUAUUAUUUCUUGCUCCUAUUUACCUUUCUAAAUUCUUCAAACCAAGGAGUCCUUACAGCUCUGAGGCCUUGAGCUCUCCAAUUCCUCAUUCACAGAACACCUGCUGACUCCUGUGAUAACUCCAAAGCCUCUGCUGGAUUGUUCCUGAAUUUUGAAAAGCAAAAUACAUUCACAGUCCUCUCUUAGUUAUGAAUAAUGAUAAUCCAGACUGUGAUCCACUGCAUACUUAUUUAUGUGUUAAGGUGUAGCCAUAUGUGUAGUGCCUUGGGAACAGUUUAUUAAAGAAAAGCCAAAUUGAUUCUGUGUUGCAUUUUCUGUGAUGUUCAUUAAAUAUUUGAAGUAAAAGGCUUGUAAAGAAUGUAUGAAGAUGCAUUUUGAAUGAAAAUACAUAAAUGGAGAAAACACA